UACGUAGGCAGCGAGCGUUGUUCGGAGUUACUGGGCGUAAAGGGUGUGUAGGCGGUUGUUUAAGUUUGGUGUGAAAUCUCCCGGCUCAACUGGGAGGGUGCGCCGAAUACUGAAUGACUUGGAGUGCGGGAGAGGUGAGUGGAAUUCCACGUGUAGCGGUGGAAUGCGCGAUAUCAGGAGGAACACCGGUGGCGAAGGCGGGUCUCUGGGCAGUAACUGACGCUGAGGAGCGAAAGCGUGGGGGAGCGAACAGG
rnacentral:rRNA from 1 species